rnacentral:rRNA from 1 species
UGGGGAAUAUUGCACAAUGGGCGCAAGCCUGAUGCAGCCAUGCCGCGUGUGUGAAGAAGGCCUUCGGGUUGUAAAGCACUUUCAGCGAGGAGGAAGGUGGUGAGCUUAAUACGCUCAUCAAUUGACGUUACUCGCAGAAGAAGCACCGGCUAACUCCGUGCCAGCAGCCGCGGUAAUACGGAGGGUGCAAGCGUUAAUCGGAAUUACUGGGCGUAAAGCGCACGCAGGCGGUUUGUUAAGUCAGAUGUGAAAUCCCCGGGCUCAACCUGGGAACUGCAUUUGAAACUGGCAAGCUAGAGUCUCGUAGAGGGGGGUAGAAUUCCAGGUGUAGCGGUGAAAUGCGUAGAGAUCUGGAGGAAUACCGGUGGCGAAGGCGGCCCCCCUGGACGAAGACUGACGCUCAGGUGCGAAAGCGUGGGGCAGCAAACAGGAUUAGAUACCCUGGUAGUCCAGCGCUGUAAACGAUGUCGAUUUGGAGGUUGUGCCCUUGAGGCGUGGCUUCCGGAGCUAACGCGUUAAAUCGACCGCCUGGGGGAGUACGGCCGCAAGGUUAAAACUUAAAUGAAUUGACGGGGUC